UACGUAGGGCGCAAGCGUUAUCCGGAAUUAUUGGGCGUAAAGAGCUCGUAGGCGGUUUGUCGCGUCUGCCGUGAAAGUCCGGGGCUCAACUCCGAUCUGCGGUGGGUACGGGCAGACUAGAGUGAUGUAGGGGAGACUGGAAUUCCUGGUGUAGCGGUGAAAUGCGCAGAUAUCAGGAGGAACACCGAUGGCGAAGGCAGGUCUCUGGGCAUUAACUGACGCUGAGGAGCGAAAGCAUGGGGAGCGAACAGG
rnacentral:rRNA from 1 species